rnacentral:rRNA from 1 species
AGUGAACGCUGGAGGCGUGCCUACUACAUGCAAGUCGAACGGAGUGGCGCACGGGUGAGUAAUGUAUAGCUAAAAUGCCCUACACUAGCGGACAACAGUUGGAAACGGCUGCUAAUACUCUAUAGUGUAGGAUGAGGCAAUAUUGUAACAGCUAGUUGGUUAGGUAAUGGCUCAACAAGGCUAUGACGCAUAACUGGUCUGAGAUGAUGAUCAGUCACACUGGAACUGAGACACGGUCCAGACUCCGACGGGAGGCAGCAGUAUGGAAUAUUGCUCAAUGGUGGAAACCCUGAAGCAGCAACGCCGCGUGGAGGAUUACACUUUUCGGAGCGUAAACUCCUUUUGUUAGGGAAGCGGUACCUAACGAAUAAGCACCGGCUAACGCCGUGCCAGCAGCCGCGGUAAUAC